GCGGGUGUAGUUUAGUGGUAAAACCUCAGCCUUCCAAGCUGAUGAUGAGAGUUCGAUUCUCUUCACCCGCUCCA
rnacentral:tRNA from 104 species